UAGGGAAUCUUCCACAAUGGGCGCAAGCCUGAUGGAGCAACACCGCGUGAGUGAAGAAGGGUUUCGGCUCGUAAAGCUCUGUUGGUAGUGAAGAAAGAUAGAGGUAGUAACUGGCCUUUAUUUGACGGUAAUUACUUAGAAAGUCACGGCUAACUACGUGCCAGCAGCCGCGGUAAUACGUAGGUGGCAAGCGUUGUCCGGAUUUAUUGGGCGUAAAGCGAGUGCAGGCGGUUCAAUAAGCCUGAUGUGAAAGCCUUCGGCUCAACCGGAGAAUUGCAUCAGAAACUGUUGAACUUGAGUGCAGAAGAGGAGAGUGGAACUCCAUGUGUAGCGGUGGAAUGCGUAGAUAUAUGGAAGAACACCAGUGGCGAAGGCGGCUCUCUGGUCUGCAACUGACGCUGAGGCUCGAAAGCAUGGGUAGCGAACAGGAUUAGAUACCCUGGUAGUCCAUGCCGUAAACGAUGAGUGCUAAGUGUUGGGAGGUUUCCGCCUCUCAGUGCUGCAGCUAACGCAUUAAGCACCCCGCCUGGGGAGUACGGCCGCAAGGUUG
rnacentral:rRNA from 1 species